CUGCGGGCACCUGUUCCGGAGAGAUGAAGUGGAUGUGGGUAUCGAUGCCUCCUGCAGUGAGGAUCUUCCGUUCCCCGGCGAUGAUCUCCGUGCUUGUUCCAAUAACAAUGUCCACGCCGUCGGUAAUCUGCGGAUUACCGGCCUUGCCGAUUCUGAAGAUGUGGCCGUCUUUAAGGGCCACAUCAGCUUUGUAGAUGCCGCUGUAGUCCACAACGACCACGUUGGUGAUGACGGUGUCCGGGAUGUCUUCCGAGCGGGUCAGCUGCCCGUUUUGGCCCAUGCCGUCGCGG
rnacentral:sRNA from 1 species